rnacentral:rRNA from 1 species
AUGGCUAGGCUGGUGCAUGUCUACAACCAAACACCACGCAAAGAGAUGUUCUCCAACUGGAAAGAACGUUUUGUGAUCAGCGACGACUUGGUGAUUAAACAGGCGUCGACGAGCAAUGUGAUGUCUUUUCUAAGGGGACUCGGCCCAGGUUUUGGGAUCAGAGACGGCUACGAGGAGGUGGACGUGGACGUUGGAUGGGCUGAGGUGGUUUCCUUGCUCAAGACCUGUAUCUCAUCCACCACCAUAUUCACUGACGUGUUUCUCGCGAAAGGAAAUGGCCAAGCUGUUCACACAGUUUUGGCAAAAAGAUCAUUACUCGCGGAGCUCUUACCCACGAUUAAUCCCAAGCCUUCGUAUCAAGAAACCGGUGAUCCUACAGUCUUUCAAUAUCAUCCACAAGUCCUCAUCAAGCUUUUCUACGACAGGAAGGACAGGAAGGUCAUGUAUGCCGAGUGCAAGCACGAGUUCCUGGACCUGCUCCUCAGCUUCCUGAUCUACCCCAUGGGAUGCAUCCUCAAGAACCUGGCCGGCACCUCUCAUCUGUGCGGCAGUUUCAACAAUCUUUACAGGAGCGCCGCCGGUCUAGACAGGGCUGGAUUCUUGACAGGCCCCUGCUUUCGCGACAUAAAGGCACUGCUGGAUCCGAGCCUUGACUCGUUCAAGAUAGGAUGCUCCUUCGGGAAAGAUAAAACAUCGUGCCAUUCGUGUGAUCCUGAGUUUGUCAGCAAUCACACAUAUGUAGUUGGCGAUGAUCUGUGCAUAUAUCAGGCUUCCGCAGUGUCGGUGCUGAAGCAUUGGUGCAAGAGAGAUCUGGUGGAGAUGGACAUUGCUAUCAGCAAACAAGAGGCUGUUGUGUUACUGCGGGCGGUGGUCAAUUCGAAGACUGCGCUCACGGAUGUGUUCAAGGGGAGACUGGCUGCGCCCUCCAUGGAGAAGAUGCAGAUCUUUGUCAGGAUCUUUGCAGGUGAGACAAUCACACUUGAAGUGGCAAGCUCUGACACGGUCGCUGCCGUCAGGAGUAAGAUCCAGGCGAGGAAGAAGCUAACGGACUCUUGUGGGUUAGUCUAUGGUGGCAAAUGCCUGCAGGAUCCAUGGACCCUGGCUGAUUGUGGUAUUCACAGGGAGGCCACAAUCCAUGCUGAGUUUUUC